GUGAAAUUGUUGAAAGGGAAACGCUUGAAUUCAGACGCGUGCGGAAAGGGUCACCCUUCUCAUCAGUUGGUGUAUUUUCCAAUUGACGGGUCAUCUGGGAUUUUCACUCUUGGAUAAAAGGGGGAGGAACGGUGCAUCUCCGGAUGGGUUAUAACCUCCUGUGCAUUCAACAGAGGGAAUGAGGAAUCAGCAACCCCCAGGCCGGGUUGAGGUCCCGACGUGCUUAGGAUGCUGGCAUAAUGGCUUCAAGCGACCCGUCUUGAAACACGGACCAAGGAGUC
rnacentral:rRNA from 1 species